rnacentral:rRNA from 1 species
GNAUCNACGGUAACAGAAAGCAGCUUGCUGCUUUGCUGACGAGUGGCGGACGGGUGAGUAAUGUCUGGGAAACUGCCUGAUGGAGGGGGAUAACUACUGGAAACGGUAGCUAAUACCGCAUAACGUCGCAAGACCAAAGAGGGGGACCUUCGGGCCUCUUGCCAUCGGAUGUGCCCAGAUGGGAUUAGCUAGUANGUGGGGUAACGGCUCACCUAGGCGACNAUCCCUAGCUGGUCUGAGAGGAUGACCAGCCACACUGGA